GGGGGGGCCGCAUGUAAAGGGAUUCGGGGGGGUACGGCGCGGCCGGGGGGCUCCCAUCCUGCGGGGCUGGGCCCGGGGAGGUCCCGCUUCGGGUCGGGGGGAGGCUGGAGGGUCCGGGGGUGCUGGGCCGGGGGCGAGCCCAAAGCUCCCUCUCGGUGCCCGGCCCUGUGCUGUCGGCUGCACCGAGGGGUAGAGCCCAAGUGCGCGGGUGUCCCGGGGCAGCUGACACGGCCCCGGGGCUGCUCGGGGGUCUCAGCGCUGAGCCCCCCCCCCCGCCAUCCACCCCCCCAGGCAUCUACGCGUGCGCCCGGUGCGGCUACGAGCUGUUCUCCAGCCGCGCCAAGUACGAGCACUCCUCGCCCUGGCCGGCCUUCACCGAGACCAUCCACGAGGACAGCGUGGCCAAGCGCAAGGAGCGCCCGGGGGCCUUCAAGGUGUCCUGUGGCAAGUGCGGCAACGGGCUGGGCCACGAGUUCCUCAAUGAUGGGCCCAAGAGGGGGCAGUCCCGUUUCUGAAUAUUCAGCAGCUCGCUGAAAUUUAUCCCGAAAGGCAAAGCAGACAAGGACCCAAAGGAGAAGUAAGCGAGCUGCUCUACACGACAUGCUGCUGGGGGCUGAUCCUGUGUUCACAUCUUGGGGUGCACUGGGAGCAAGAGGCCCCCCGACAAAGCUCCUGGUUCCCCCGGGCCGGCUCCAUGCUCCGAGGCGUUCCCAUUCUGGGUGCUGGGAGGGAGCUGGGAGGGGAGGGGGGGCUGUGGCUGCACUGCACUUGCUGGGGGCCGGGUUGUAUGACCCGUGCCUGAGGUUAUUUUGCACAGAUUGAGCUGAAGGCUGCAGCUCUUCAUUUUACCUUCCCUUUUUCCCUCCCCGACCAUCUCUUCCCCCAGACAUCCCUGCCUCUGCCAGCAGCUGCCGCUGAGUCCUUUCUGCUUUGCCCACCGCAGCAGCACGCGUGCCUGCAGCCCUACUCCGCUGGGGCAGUUCUGCUGGUGACCAGCAGAGCCGGGGCUGCCUCAGCGCCGUGGCCAAGACGGGCAGGCUCUGCCUUGCCACCGCUGCCACCCAGAGCCCCUCCGCUGACAUCUCGGGGGGGGGGGG
rnacentral:lncRNA from 1 species